ACUUUAAUUGAUUUCUUCGGAAUGAAGUUUUUGUGACUGAGUGGCGGACGGGUGAGUAACGCGUGGGUAACCUGCCUCAUACAGGGGGAUAACAGUUGGAAACGACUGCUAAUACCGCAUAAGCGCACGGUUCCGCAUGGAACAGUGUGAAAAACUCCGGUGGUAUGAGAUGGACCCGCGUCUGAUUAGCCAGUUGGUGGGGUAACGGCCUACCAAAGCGACGAUCAGUAGCCGACCUGAGAGGGUGACCGGCCACAUUGGGACUGAGACACGGCCCAAACUCC
rnacentral:rRNA from 1 species